CCGCUUCGUCACCCUGCUCGAGCGACUGGUGGCGCACCCUUACUCGUUCCGCGAGCGAGAUUUCAUCAUGCGCUACCGAAAGGAGAUGGUGGCGAUAUCACAGACUACCGCCGUCCCCCCGCUGCAGCACACCUCUGAUGGCAAAGGUUAUGUGGACACAGAAGUGAAGAGGACGAGAGACGUGGCUAAGGUGCGCAUCAGCGAGGGACUGG